rnacentral:tRNA from 1 species
GACGUCGUGUCCGAGUGGUUAUGGAGAGUGAUUAGAAUUAUCACUUGGGUUCGCCCGCGCAUGUUCGAAUCAUGCCGACGUCG